rnacentral:rRNA from 1 species
UGCGUAGGGUGCGGGCGUUAUCCGGAAUUAUUGGGCGUAAAGAGCGCGCAGGUGGUUGAUUAAGUCUGAUGUGAAAGCCCACGGCUUAACCGUGGAGGGUCAUUGGAAACUGGUCGACUUGAGUGCAGAAGAGGGAAGUGGAAUUCCAUGUGUAGCGGUGAAAUGCGUAGAGAUAUGGAGGAACACCAGUGGCGAAGGCGGCUUCCUGGUCUGUAACUGACACUGAGGCGCGAAAGCGUGGGGAGCAAACAGGAUUAGAUA